AUUGAACGCUGGCGGCAGGCCUAACACAUGCAAGUCGAGCGGCAGCGCGGGGCAACCUGGCGGCGAGCGGCGAACGGGUGAGUAAUACAUGGGAAUCUGCCUGGUAGUGGGGGAUAACUCUGGGAAACUAGAGGUAAUACCGCAUACGUCCUACGGGAGAAAGCGGGGGAUCUUCGGACCUCGCGCUAUCAGAGGAGCCCAUGUCCGAUUAGCUAGUUGGUGAGGUAAAGGCUCACCAAGGCGACGAUCGGUAACUGGUCUGAGAGGAUGGUCAGUCACACUGGAACUGAGACACGGUCCAGACUCCUACGGGAGGCAGCAGUGGGGAAUAUUGGACAAUGGGGGCAACCCUGAUCCAGCCAUGCCGCGUGUGUGAAGAAGGCC
rnacentral:rRNA from 1 species